UCUUCAAAGAUGCAUUUUGAUGCUGAAUUUGAAGUUGAGCUGGUUGUACCAGCAAUGGUGCUUCCUGCACAAAAUGGUAAACAUAAAUGCAGCACUGAUUACUUUGCAAAUCAUGCCCUGAGGCUCGAGGUCCAAUGAAACAGUGAUUUUAGAGGCAAUAUCAGAUAAGGUAUUCUCAUUACUCCCCAGGCCAUUGCAAAAAAUUACUCCCCAAUCCCUGCAAAAAUUUAUGAUUUAAAGAAAGAUUGGUUGUCUCCCCUCAUAGCCCAACUCUACAAACAGCUGUGCUGGUAUGAGUGGGGGAAUUGUGCAACGUGUUGGCAAAUCUGAGCAGCCAAAGAGGGAAAUUUUUUCAACUGGUUUGGUCCCUGAAGCCCAUGUGUCGACAAACCACAGCCUGUGCACCUUAUUAGCUUUCUGCAGGUCCCUGCUAACUAAUGGUAUGUACCUGUCCAUCUGCAGAGCCAAAAAUAGCUACUUUUAAAGAACAGAAAGGAAUUCCUGCUGAGCCUGACAGAAGACAAGCCCACUAUGUGUCUGCCUGGUGCUGUGGAGUCCUGUGACAAAGGUGGCUUGAGGCAGUGCAUUUAUUUUCCAGCUGAUGUGCACUGAUAACCUGACCUCUACACUUACAAGAUUCAUGUAAUAUUUCAUCGCUUACCUCAGCUUCUACUGGCUCCAUAUUCUAAACCCCCAUGUACGUCACAAAGGACCUUCCAAGCAGCUGACAGACAAAACACUUCUGACACCCAUUCUGGGUAGGAUAACACUUAAAUAUGAGAAGGAAAUACAAUGCUGCUCACUCCCCCAAGUGCAAGCUAAUUUUAAAGUUAAUACUAAAGCAUCUACAUUUCUGACAAGUCUAAGAUUUCUGAGACCAGAGCAACAAAAGACAGUCAAAUGCAAACUACAGUACAGACCUCUCUUAAACCCAGAGAGACAAGAUAAGCCUUUUCUGCCUGGCAGCAUUUCAGAGACAUUAAGUGUAAGAGAGAAGAGUUAGUGUAGUUUGCUACUCCGGUGUGACAGUAUUCAGAGCUGAAAAAGGGGCAGCUCUUGCUAUGUGGACCGCACUGAUGGGCUUUUCAAGUUUGCCAUUUUCCUGUGACCGGAGAGGUAAGUAACUCACAUAGUUUGGUUUCAGCCAUGAAAUGGCAAAGGGAGAACCAAGUCAUAGCUCUGCAGAUACUCAGUUGCUCCACUGGUGGCCUCAGCCUUUCCUUUCUUCU